UUGGAGGGCAAGUCUGGUGCCAGCAGCCGCGGUAAUUCCAGCUCCAAUAGCGUAUAUUAAAGUUGUUGCAGUUAAAAAGCUCGUAGUUGAAUUUCGGAAUCCAUCCGUCGGUCGGGCCUCACGGUCCGCACUGGUGUGAUGGAUUCCUACCUUCUGAAUAACCAGCAUGUCAUUAAUUUGGUGCGUUGGGGAAGCAGGACUGUUACCUUGAAAAAAUUAGAGUGCUUAAAGCAGGCUAGUGCCUGAAUACAUUAGCAUGGAAUAAUGAAAUAGGACGGCAUGGUUCUAUUUUGUUGGUUUCUAGGAUCACCGUAAUGAUUAAUAGGGAUAGUUGGGGGCAUUAGUACUCAAUUAUCAGAGGUGAAAUCCUUGGAUUUAUUGAAGACUAACUUCUGCGAAAGCAUUUGCCAAGGAUGUUUUCAUUAAUCAAGAACGAAAGUUAGGGGAUCGAAGACGAUCAGAUACCGUCGUAGUCUUAACCAUAAACUAUGCCGACUAGGGAUCGGACGAUGUUAAUUUUUUAAUGACUCGUUCGGCGCCUUACGGGAAAC
rnacentral:rRNA from 1 species